UACGUAGGGUGCAAGCGUUAAUCGGAAUUACUGGGCGUAAAGCGUGCGCAGGCGGUUUUGUAAGACAGGCGUGAAAUCCCCGGGCUCAACCUGGGAAUUGCGCUUGUGACUGCAAAGCUGGAGUGCGGCAGAGGGGGAUGGAAUUCCGCGUGUAGCAGUGAAAUGCGUAGAUAUGCGGAGGAACACCAAUGGCGAAGGCAAUCCCCUGGGCCUGUACUGACGCUCAUGCACGAAAGCGUGGGGAGCAAACAGG
rnacentral:rRNA from 1 species